GGAUGGCUCAGUUGGUUAGAGUAUGGCGCUGGUAAUGCCCAAGAUUCAGGUUCGAUCCCCAUAUGCAACA